CGAAUGGAGGAUGAGAAUUCCCUUUUUCUUUUUUUUCCCCCCAUUUUUUUUUCGUUACACAGAGAGAUGGAUCAUGGAUCUCGAUCUGUCAAAAUCGAACGCGAUCCUCCCACACGUUCUUUCGUUGACAGAUGUAGACGACGGUAUUCGAGUAAGUGAAAUAAACGCAAAAUGAAAAAAAUGUGAAAAAAAAUGUGCUUUUAGGUUACUCAUUUUUAAUACUAUUCCAAUUCGCGAUUCAAAUGGCGCGAACACAAUUCACGAUUUAUCCGUGCAGUUUAUCACGCAUGCUACAUCGUUUAUCGCGAUACUCGAUAAACCCUGUUCCGUUGCUUAUUUCUUGAUAAUGAGCGACAAUUAAUCAUUGUUUCUGUUAAUCAUUAUUUGUAUUCGUGUCGGUUGUUCUUCCGCCUUUUAACUAUAAUUUCCGUAAUUAUUUUAAAUCAAUAAUGUUCAGGCAGAAAUGCACCGUUCGCCUCGUGUGCUUUGUUAAAUUUAUUUUUGAACGAUACGAGAUAAGACGCGUUGUAAAAGUUGUAAGGGCCACGAGGUUAAGAAACCGGCAACAAAGCGUCGUUUAACACGGCUCUUGGUACAACAUAUAUCGCUUUUUCACGUUUUUCGACUUUGCGUAUUAAUUACGUGUUUCGAUAUAAACAAUACUAAUAUGCAUAUUGAAAAAUCAUUCAUGUAUGUACACGUAUACGUAUAUACUCAUGAAAAUGUACUCCAAUGCACGUUUAAUCAUCCAUGUACAAACGUUCAUUCAUAUAUAAUGUACUACUAGUUACAACGGAAUGCGAUGCGAGACAACCGUUAUCGAUGUUAUCACCGUGUCAUCGGUAUCAUAGUUUUAUGAGAUAUUUUCUGCACGAUAUUCGAGGGGUCGCUUAUGUCAAUCUGUAUCAUAGUUGAUAAUGCAUCAGGCACUCUAAUAAAAUGCGUUUAACAUUGAAUUAUAAAUAUAUUGCAAAUCUAGCAAAAUAAUAAGUCUCUUGUUUUCUCUCAACUUAAUCGCUAACAAAAGUGCUGAGUAUCAAUUUUUCUCGAUAAGAUUGUAUUAUCGCGGUAGAGGAUAAAUGUAUGUAGGUAAAGCUAUCUCGAUUGUAUUAUUUGCAGAUUUGUUAGUCAAUGAUUUUGUUUUGACUUGUGCGCGUCACGUAACCCAUAAUUUAUUCAUAUUAUUUUUAAAACGUGUAUAUUUUUUUCUAUAAAGACAGAUAUGUACAUCAUUUAUCAUCUUAAGUGCAUAAUUUAAAAAGAAUGUACGAUAAUUAGCAGUUCUAAUCUUGUACACUUCGAGUUUGUCGCGACGCAUCUCCUCGUACUUUCACUCGCUAAGAGAAUAUGUAUUGGUCGCGUAACACACAAGGAAUUUCUUUCUUCUCGUUUAACAAAAAUUCCGAUGCAGAUUGCAGAUCUCAUCCUCUGCAUUCUUUUCACGUUGCGCUCCUACCUGCCUAGCUUAUCGCGCAAAGGAACGCAGUUCGAGUCGCCGGAGGAUAAAAGCCGAUUAUUCGCACGCGACAGAGAUGAUUGCUAGACGCAUGUUUGCCGGUGGACCAGCCGCCGCCGUCACCGUCGGAGGCUGACAUCGCGUCCCGAGAAUGAACCUGAAGGCUAUUUAUAGUAAGGAGCGACUUCUAGUUCCCACCGCGUGAAAAAUCACGACUGGUUUCUUGCGAGUAGGAAUGGAAGGAGAGGAAAGAGAAAGAAAGACGUAAAGAGUGGCUGGCGCGUUUCAAGUAUAAGUCAGCGCUGAACAUUAGCGACUCUUUGCGAACAGUUUGAUGGAGCAUCAUUCGUAACCGCGAGUUAUUAAGACGGCAACUACACAGGUAAUUUACUCGAUUGAUGAACAUUUGUCAAUUGAGACAAAGCGGAGAGAUGACCUAAGACAGAAAGAAUCUUUUAACGAUUUGGAUCCAAGGAAUCAGAUAAUGAAACAAUCCAGCCGAGUAUCAUUCAGUAAUCCAACAGCGGCAAGGGACACGAUACUCGCCACUCGCGUGAAUCACGCGAGUGGCCGAAUCGCGACAUUCGCGACGCAACCUCUACGUGGUCGACGGACGCACGAUGCUACAACUCGCAUCGUAAUUCGAUUUAGAAGAAGGAUGAUGAUGAUGAUACUGAUGUAAUUACCCCCG